rnacentral:rRNA from 1 species
GACGAAGGGGGCAAGCGUUGUUCGGAAUUACUGGGCGUAAAGGGCGCGUAGGCGGCUCUUUUAGUCAGGUGUGAAAGCCCUGGGCUCAACCUGGGAGUGGCACUUGAUACUGGAGGGCUAGAGAGUUGGAGAGGUUGGUGGAAUUCCCAGUGUAGAGGUGAAAUUCGUAGAUAUUGGGAAGAACACCAGUGGCGAAGGCGGCUCACUGGCCCGGUACUGACGCUGAGGUGCGAAAGCGUGGGGAGCAAACAGG